AAAACUCGUCAUCUUUUUCUACCAGCUUUUCAGAAAUGAACAUUUCUUUUACACAUACAAAAACAACAACAACGACGACAGCAAUAACAUACCAUUAAUAUUCUUACCGUAUCAACCUCUAACAAUGAAAGUAUACCGUCGCAAAAAAUGAAGACAAAAAAAAAAAAAUCCCUUUGCCCGCACAUAGCGAUACCAUUGUACUACAAAAUUUGUGUUUAGUCUAAAAGAUUAUGC
rnacentral:lncRNA from 1 species